rnacentral:rRNA from 1 species
GAUGAACGCUGGCUACAGGCUUAACACAUGCAAGUCGAGGGGAAACGACGGGGAAGCUUGCUUCCCCGGGCGUCGACCGGCGCACGGGUGAGUAACGCGUAUCCAACCUGCCUCUGACUGAGGGAUAACCCGUCGAAAGUCGGCCUAAUACCUCAUGGCAUCGUCUGCGGGCAUCCAACGACGAUUAAAGAUUUCAUCGGUCAGGGAUGGGGAUGCGUCUGAUUAGCUUGUUGGCGGGGUAACGGCCCACCAAGGCUACGAUCAGUAGGGGGUCUGAGAGGAAGGUCCCCCACAUUGGAACUGAGACACGGUCCAAACUCCUACGGGAGGCAGCAGUGAGGAAUAUUGGUCAAUGGGCGGGAGCCUGAACCAGCCAAGUAGCGUGCAGGAUGACGGCCCUAUGGGUUGUAAACUGCUUUUAUGCGGGGAUAAAGUGAGGGACGUGUCCUUCAUUGCAGGUACCGCAUGAAUAAGGACCGGCUAAUUCCGUG